rnacentral:tRNA from 1 species
GGGCUGCUGCCCAGUGAUAGAGCGCUCGUCUGGCACAUGUGAGGCACUGAGUUCGAUCCUCAGCACCACA